rnacentral:rRNA from 1 species
GACGAACGCUGGCGGCGUGCUUAACACAUGCAAGUCGAACGGUAAGGCCCUUCGGGGUACACGAGUGGCGAACGGGUGAGUAACACGUGGGUGAUCUGCCCUGCACUUCGGGAUAAGCCUGGGGAACUGGGGCGAAUACCGGAUAGGACCCUGGGAUGCAUGUCCUGGGGUGGAAAGCUUUUGCGGUGUGGGAUGGGCCCGCGGCCUAUCAGCUUGUUGGUGGGGUGAUGGCCUACCAAGGCGACGACGGGUAGCCGGCCUGAGAGGGUGACCGGCCACACUGGGACUGAGAUACGGCACAGACUCCUACGGGAGGCAGCAGUGGGGAAUAUUGCACAAUGGGCGCAAGCCUGAUGCAGCGACGCCGCGUGAGGGAUGACGGCCUUCGGGUUGUAAACCUCUUUCAGCACCGACGAAGCGCAAGUGACGGUAGGUGCAGAAGAAGGACCGGCCAACUACGUGCCAGCCGCCGCAGUAA